UACGAGAGGCCCAAACGUUUAUUCGGAUUUACUGGGCUUAAAGAGUUCGUAGGCGGUUCGUCAAGUGAGGUGUGAAAGCCCUCGGCUCAACCGAGGAAUUGCGCUUCAAACUGUCGGGCUCGAGGGAGAUAGAGGUGAGCGGAACUGAUGGUGGAGCGGUGAAAUGCGUUGAUAUCAUCAGGAACACCAGAGGCGAAGGCGGCUCACUGGGUCUUUUUCUGACGCUGAGGAACGAAAGCUAGGGGAGCAAACGGG
rnacentral:rRNA from 1 species